UACCAGCACCCCGAGUGGUCGGGACGUUUAUUGGGCCUAAAGCAUCCGUAGCCGGUUCUACAAGUCUUCCGUUAAAUCCACCUGCUUAACAGAUGGGCUGCGGAAGAUACUAUGGAGCUAGGAGGCGGGAGAGGCAAGCGGUACUCGAUGGGUAGGGGUAAAAUCCGUUGAUCCAUUGAAGACCACCAGUGGCGAAGGCGGCUUGCCAGAACGCGCUCGACGGUGAGAGAUGAAAGCUGGGGGAGCAAACCGG
rnacentral:rRNA from 1 species